rnacentral:rRNA from 1 species
GAUGAACGCUGGCGGCGUGCCUAAUACAUGCAAGUCGAGCGAACAGAUGAGGAGCUUGCUCCUCUGACGUUAGCGGCGGACGGGUGAGUAACACGUGGAUAACCUCCCUAUAAGACUGGGAUAACUUCUGGAAACCGGAGCUAAUACCGGAUAAUAUAUUGAACCGCAUGGUUCAAUAGUGAAAGACGGUUUUGCUGUCACUUAUAGAUGGAUCCGCGCCGCAUUAGCUAGUUGGUAAGGUAACGGCUUACCAAGGCAACGAUGCGUAGCCGACCUGAGAGGGUGAUCGGCCACACUGGAACUGAGACACGGUCCAGACUCCUACGGGAGGCAGCAGUAGGGAAUCUUCCGCAAUGGGAGAAAGCCUGACGGAGCAACGCCGCGUGAGUGAUGAAGGUCUUCGGAUCGUAAAACUCUGUUAUUAGGGAAGAACAAAUGUGUAAGUAACUAUGCACGUAUUGACGGUACCUAAUCAGAAAGCCACGGCUAACUACGUG